AUUGAACGCUGGCGGCAGGCCUAACACAUGCAAGUCGAGCGGAUGAGUGGAGCUUGCUCCAUGAUUCAGCGGCGGACGGGUGAGUAAUGCCUAGGAAUCUGCCUGGUAGUGGGGGACAACGUUUCGAAAGGAACGCUAAUACCGCAUACGUCCUACGGGAGAAAGUGGGGGAUCUUCGGACCUCACGCUAUCAGAUGAGCCUAGGUCGGAUUAGCUAGUUGGUGAGGUAAAGGCUCACCAAGGCGACGAUCCGUAACUGGUCUGAGAGGAUGAUCAGUCACACUGGAACUGAGACACGGUCCAGACUCCUACGGGAGGCAGCAGUGGGGAAUAUUGGACAAUGGGCGAAAGCCUGAUCCAGCCAUGCCGCGUGUGUGAAGAAGGUCUUCGGAUUGUAAAGCACUUUAAGUUGGGAGGAAGGGCAGUAAGUUAAUACCUUGCUGUUUUGACGUUACCAACAGAAUAAGCACCGGCUAACUUCGUGCCAGCAGCCGCGGUAAUACGAAGGGUGCAAGCGUUAAUCGGAAUUACUGGGCGUAAAGCGCGCGUAGGUGGUUCGUUAAGUUGGAUGUGAAAGCCCCGGGCUCAACCUGGGAACUGCAUCCAAAACUGGCGAGCUAGAGUAUGGCAGANGGUGGUGGAAUUUCCUGUGUAGCGGUGAAAUGCGUAGAUAUAGGAAGGAACACCAGUGGCGAANGCGACCACCUGGGCUAAUACUGACACUGGGGUGCGAAAGCGUGGGGAGCAAACAGGAUUAGAUACCCUGGUAGUCCACGCCGUAAAC
rnacentral:rRNA from 1 species